ACUUCAGUGUACUGCGCCACAAGGCUCAAAAGCUACAAAGAGAGGUCAGUGACUAACAGUGUAGUAAAGCGAAAGGUAAGUAAAUUGUAACUUACUAUAACAUAAAGUCUCUACUUAGCAUGAUUUGCACAAGUAAUAAAGCAACUACAUCAUGAAUGUACAUGGGUGUGUAUGACAUACAUAAGCAUAGAAAUGCAACCACUCCGAUGUCCUCAAUGCAAAAUUAGUAAAGAUGUCAUUGUUUACUAUUCUAGUCCAAGUCCACUUUAAUUGUUUUAAAGUUCACAUAGCAUGUUCUGUCACUAAGUCCCAAUCAUGUAAGACCCACCCGAAGGCUGUCUGGCCUGCGCCGUGCCUAGUGGCCCCGUGGUAGUCAACAUCCCCACUCUAGGAAUGAGCCUCCCCCACGGCAAUCCAUUUCGGCGCCCAAUCCCGCACGGGUGAGCAUAUGUUGCGAUGGCUAUCUCCGGAGUGCCGGCUUGUAGGGAGCGACCCUCACAAGCAUGUGCGAAUGAGCACAAGUGGCAAGCAAGCAAUGAUCCGUCUCUCUCAAGUCAUCAUGUCUAAAAUAUGGAAUACAUCGAAUGUCCCCAUGGCCUAUCUCUAUGUCGUCAUGUCUCUAACAUGGAAUAUAGCAGAUAUGUAUUGGCCUAUCAAUAUGUCUCUAUGUUGCAAUUUCUUAGUUUACUAAUUCU
rnacentral:lncRNA from 1 species